rnacentral:lncRNA from 1 species
CUCGAUUCACCAUAAUGGAAUCCCCAACCGGUAUAGAUAUAUGAACGUGGGUAACAAGUGAAUCAAGCAUAUCCAGAUAAGAAGCAAAGUAUGAUGACACAUAUGAAUAAGUAGAGUCAAGAUCAAACAAUACCAAACAUCUCUAUUGCACAUUAAAGCAAUACAUGUAUAACUGCAUCAGAAGCGACAGCCACAUUCCU